AUGCUCUCUUAGACACACGUUCAAAACAUCUAGUCCCUAUUGCUAAUUGAACAUAAGAACUCUACAGAGAAUAGAAGACUUUUCUUUUGAGCUUUCAUCAAUGGCAAAUGGGUCUCGACCUGAAGCUGGACAAAGCCUCCAGGACCAGGAGAGGGUAAGAAACCGUUUUCCUGGUCCCCCUAGAAAGAUUUCUGAACAAGAGCCCCAAGGAGAAAGAACUGAACAACAGCUCCAGAAAAAGAAAAAAAAACAGGCAGAAAAUAUUGAUAAAAGGACGGGUGGAAACCACAACAGUAUUUCUGGCAAUAGAAUUUAUGGAAAACACAGUAGUAACGUUGGGAUUAGCAACGUUGGCAACGUUGGCUACAACUGGUCGAGCGUACUAUUUCUUCUUGGUCUUAUUCUUCUUAUUCUAGCUUUGUUUUUUCUUUUUCAUUUUAUAUAUUAACGGUGAGUAAGCAAAACAAAAAAAUGAAGCAAGUGCGGUAUGAGUGAAAAAAAGGCACAACCAAGAAGAAAAAGAAGAAGAAGAGAAAAAC